GCCCUAGUAACGGCGAGUGAAGCGGCAACAGCUCAAAUUUGAAAUCUGGCCCUCGGGUCCGAGUUGUAAUUUGUAGAGGAUGCUUUUGGCGCGGUGCCUUCCGAGUUCCCUGGAACGGGACGCCUUAGAGGGUGAGAGCCCCGUACGGUUGGACACCAAGCCUCUGUAAAGCUCCUUCGACGAGUCGAGUAGUUUGGGAAUGCUGCUCUAAAUGGGAGGUAAAUUUCUUCUAAAGCUAAAUAUUGGCCAGAGACCGAUAGCGCACAAGUAGAGUGAUCGAAAGAUGAAAAGCACUUUGAAAAGAGGGUUAAAUAGCACGUGAAAUUGUUGAAAGGGAAGCGUUUGCGACCAGACCUUUUCCCAGCGGAUCAUCCGGUGUUCUCACCGGUGCACUUCGCUGGGUUUAGGCCAGCAUCGGUUUCCGUAGGGGGAUAAAAGCCCUGGGAACGUAGCUCCCUCGGGAGUGUUAUAGCCCUCUGCAUAAUACCCUUACGGGACCGAGGACCGCGCUUCGGCAAGGAUGCUGGCGUAAUGGUCGUCAACGAC
rnacentral:rRNA from 2 species